AACGAACGCUGGCGGCAGGCUUAACACAUGUAAGUCGAGCGCCCCGCAAGGGGAGCGGCAGACGGGUGAGUAACGCGUGGGAAUCUACCCAUCUCUACGGAAUAACGCAUGGAAAUGUGUGCUAAUACCGUAUACGUCCUUCGGGAGAAAGAUUUAUCGGAGAUGGAUGAGCCCGCGUUGGAUUAGCUAGUUGGUGGGGUAAAGGCCUACCAAGGCGACGAUCCAUAGCUGGUCUGAGAGGAUGAUCAGCCACACUGGGACUGAGACACGGCCCAGACUCCUACGGGAGGCAGCAGUGGGGAAUAUUGGACAAUGGGCGCAAGCCUGAUCCAGCCAUGCCGCGUGAGUGAUGAAGGCCCUAGGGUUGUAAAGCUCUUUCACCGGUGAAGAUAAUGACGGUAACCGGAGAAGAAGCCCCGGCUAACUUCGUGCCAGCCGCCGCAGUAAUAC
rnacentral:rRNA from 1 species